GUGUCCAUCAGUGUUUCUCCAUCAGUGGGUGUAGGUGUGUGUGUGUCCAUCAGUGGGUGUAGGCGUGGGUGUGUCCAUCAGUGGGUGUAGGUGUGGGUGUGUCCAUCAGUGGGUGCGGGUGUGUCCAUCAGUGUUUCUCCAUCAGUGGGUGUAUGUGUGUCCAUCAGUGGGUGUGGAUGUGUCCAUCAGUGUUUCUCCAUCAGUGGGUGUAGGUGUGGGUGUGUCCAUCAGUGGGUGUAGGUGUGGGUGUGUCUAUCAGUGGGUGUAGGCAUGGGUGUGUCCAUCAGUGGGUGUAGGUGUGGGUGUGUCCAUCAGCGUUUCUCCAUCAGUGGGUGUAGGUGUACGUGUGUCCAUCAGUGGGUGUAGGUGUGGGUGUGUCCAUCAGUGGGUGUAGGUGUGGGUGUGUCCAUCAGUGGGUGUGGGUGUGUCCAUCAGUGUUUCUCCAUCAGUGGGUGUAGGUGUGGGUGUGUCCAUCAGUGGGUGUAGGUGUGGGUGUGUCCAUCAGUGUUUCUCCAUCAGUGGGUGUAGGUGUGUCCAUCAGUGUUUCUCCAUCAGUGGGUGUAGGUGUGGGUGUGUCCAUCAGUGGGUGUAGGUGUGGGUGUGUCCAUCAGUGUUUCUCCAUCAGUGGGUGUAGGUGUGG